rnacentral:tRNA from 1 species
AGGGGAGUCGCCAAGCGGACUAAGGCACCUGGUUUUGACCCAGACAUUCGAAGGUUCGAAUCCUUCUUCCCCUGCCA